AUAGAGGACACAGAGACUAAUCCACAAAGCUACAACUACCUUAUAUUUGAUAAAGGAGCUAAAAGCAUGCAAUGGAGGAAGGAUAGCAUCUUCAACAAAUGGUGUUGGGAAAACUGGAAAUUCAUAUGCAACAAAAUGAAACUGAAUCCCCUCCUCUCGCCAUGCACAAAAGUUAACUCAAAGUGGAUCAAGGAGCUAGAUAUCAA
rnacentral:lncRNA from 1 species